rfam:Plautia stali symbiont DNA, complete genome.
GUCCCCUUCGUCUAGAGGCCUAGGACACCGCCCUUUCACGGCGGCAACAGGGGUUCGAAUCCCCUAGGGGACG